GCUUCUGUUUGCUAGCUGUGUGGUGGGUGAGUAAAGCCCUUUUGAGCUGCUUGUUUGCUCCCUGACUGCAGAGAUGUGGAUUGUUCAUUUGACCAGGGUUUUGAACUGAGAUGGAAGGAAGGAAGCCUUUUUCAUCAAAAACCUUGAGAGGAUUGCGGUGGAGAAGAAUAAGCACUGCAUGUAGAAAUGAAUCACGUAAUCCUGGGGGAAGAAAUAGCUGUGGAGACAACCUCUGUGGCAGUUAAGGUCCCUUUUGGGUACCAUAUGCAUCUGCUGUUAAUUCAGUUGCCAAUGGCUGCCUGGGAUACUGACGUUAAUUUGGCAAACAACGGAACAGAGCACGGGGAAAGGAAGAUGGGACAGAUGAGAGGAGUGGUGGAGAGGAGAGGGUGCUACCAUACUUGCCAUAUAAUUCAGAAGAACUCCUGAGUUUUAAAGCAACAGCGAUGGAUGGUUUUAAGAAUAAGUGACUUUCUUGGCCUAAGUAGGGUAAGGACACAACCUUUAACCUUGCAUUCUGCUAUUACAAAUAGGUGUAAUCUUCUCCUCUCCCAGUAUCUGUUUUAAAACCUGAUGGCUCAACUACCUGCCAGAGACAGCUAUUUUGAUAACAAAGCCAGGCUAUAGAUGAGACCAUUGGAUUCAGCAUCUGAGAUCUGGGACAGACUAUUGGAACUCUACAACAUACAUUUUCUAAUGAGAAUGCAUUUUAAAAUCAGGCAUUAUUUUAAUUAUUAUGAUCAUUUCCAUUUUCUCUCCGGUCUUUUUGGAAGGAAGAACAAACACUCAAUUUUAAGUAAGGAAAGACAAAUUAAUGAGGGUAUUUGAUGCAAAAUGAGGAAUGACUGAAGCUUGUUGCUAUAUUACAGCCCUUCAAAACUGCUCCUGGUUAGCAUGUGUACUCUUAUCACUCACUGCUGAUUUCCCCAUAGUAGGUGCUAUUAAUUCAGCAUUCCCUUAUUCCUAUUAAUAAUUAUAUGUGCUGUGGUAGAACCUAAAGGCCCCCCCAAAAAGGCCAGGGCCCAAUUGCACUAAAUAUGGUUUAUAUACAUUGUAGUAGACAGUCCCUGCCUCAAAGAGUUUACACUCUAAUUGGGUAAGACAAACGAAGAAAAUAUUCUCCCCAUUUUACAGCCUGGAGACUGAGGCAGAGAAAGAUAAAAGUCUCAGUGGGUCAUUCUAGUCAUCUGUGUCUGAGCUGGGAAUAGUAUCCAGAUCUCCUGAGAUUUAAUGCAGUGUCUCAACUGCAAGACAAUCUUUUGUAUCAGCAUUGGGUGCCUCUCAGUAACCUUAUUUGUGCUUAACCUGGGAAGAUAACAUAAUCCCCGUAAAGCAGCAAAAUAGUCAUUACCAUGGAAAAUUCAGCAUUAUAUUACCCAAUAUUUAGCAUGACGCCUGGUCAAAAAUGUGGACUAUUUUUCAUGAAAAUAUUUGAAUAAAAAAAACAAAAAUUUUGAAUUUUCAAAAAAUGUUCAACCAGC